rnacentral:lncRNA from 1 species
CUUGUGUACAAUUUGGAGUUUAGUAUGGCGUUCAUUAUCACUGAACUAGUAUAUAUUUGUUUAGGGGCCAGCUGAUGAAGGACGCCUCCGGGUACGGGAAUUUCUCGUUGCAUUGAAGACCUGUUGGUGACCUUCUGCUGUUGUCUGCUCUAUGGUCGGGUUGCUGUCUCUUUGGCACAUUCCCCAUUUCCAUUCUCAAUUUUAUCAU